rnacentral:rRNA from 1 species
GGAAGUGGGAUGACGUCAAGUCCUCAUGGCCUUUAUGCUUAGGGCUACACACGUGCUACAAUGGGUGGUACAAAGAGAAGCCAACUCGCGAGAGCGCGCCAAUCUCAAAAAGCCAUCCUCAGUUCGGAUUGGAGUCUGCAACUCGACUCCAUGAAAUUGGAAUCGCUAGUAAUCGCGGAUCAGCAUGCCGCGGUGAAUACGUUCCCGGGCCUU